rnacentral:rRNA from 1 species
GGGGAAUAUUGGACAAUGGACCAAAAGUCUGAUCUAGCAAUUCUGUGUGCACGAUGACGUUUUUCGGAAUGUAAAGUGCUUUCAGUUGGGAAGAAAAAAAUGACGGUACCAACAGAAGAAGUGACGGCUAAAUACGUGCCAGCAGCCGCGGUAAUACGUAUGUCACAAGCGUUAUCCGGAUUUAUUGGGCGUAAAGCGCGUCUAGGUGGUUAUGUAAGUCUGAUGUGAAAAUGCAGGGCUCAACUCUGUAUUGCGUUGGAAACUGCAUGACUAGAGUACUGGAGAGGUAAGCGGAACUACAAGUGUAGAGGUGAAAUUCGUAGAUAUUUGUAGGAAUGCCGAUGGGGAAGCCAGCUUACUGGACAGAUACUGACGCUAAAGCGCGAAAGCGUGGGUAGCAAACAGGAUUAGAUACCCUGGUAGUCCACGCCGUAAACGAUGAUUACUAGGUGUUGGGGGUCGAACCUCAGCGCCCAAGCUAACGCGAUAAGUAAUCCGCCUGGGGAGUACGUACGCAAGUAUG